AAACCAUGCAUCGGGCAUUUUCUAAUUAGCUCCUUGAACCGCUCCCAAGCUUCAUAUAAUGUCUCAUCUUUAGAUUUCUGAAAAGAUGUAAUGUCAUUCCUCAAUUU
rnacentral:snoRNA from 1 species